UACGUAGGGGCAAGCGUUGUCCGGAAUCAUUGGGCGUAAAGAGCGUGUAGGCGGCUCGAUAAGUCUGCUGUGAAGUCCAGGCUCAACCCUGGAAGGCCGGUGGAACUGUCGGCUAGAGUCCGGAAGAGGCGAGUGGAAUUCCCGGUGUAGCGGUGAAAUGCGCAGAUAUCGGGAGGAACACCCGUAGCGAAGGCGGCACUCUGGGCCGGUACUGACGCUGAGGAGCGAAGCGUGGGAGCAACAGG
rnacentral:rRNA from 1 species